GACGAACGCUGGCGGCGUGCUUAACACAUGCAAGUCGAACGGAAAGGCCCUGCUUUGGUGGGGUGCUCGAGUGGCGAACGGGUGAGUAACACGUGAGUAACCUGCCCUUGACUUUGGGAUAACUUCAGGAAACUGGGGCUAAUACCGGAUAGGAGCUCCUGCUGCAUGGUGGGGGUUGGAAAGUUUCGGCGGUUGGGGAUGGACUCGCGGCGUAUCAGCUUGUUGGUGGGGUAGUGGCUUACCAAGGCUUUGACGGGUAGCCGGCCUGAGAGGGUGACCGGCCACAUUGGGACUGAGAUACGGCCCAGACUCCUACGGGAGGCAGCAGUGGGGAAUAUUGCACAAUGGGCGGAAGCCUGAUGCAGCAACGCCGCGUGCGGGAUGACGGCCUUCGGGUUGUAAACCGCUUUCGCCUGCGACGAAGCGUGAGUGACGGUAAUGGGUAAAGAAGCACCGGCUAACUACGUG
rnacentral:rRNA from 1 species